GAUGAACGCUGGCGGCGUGCUUAACACAUGCAAGUCGAACGGAAAGGCUCCUGCUUGCAGGGGUACUCGAGUGGCGAACGGGUGAGUAACACGUGGGUGAUCUGCCCUGCACUUCGGGAUAAGCCGGGGAAACUGGGUCUAAUACCGGACAGGACGAUGGUUUGGAUGCCAUUGUGGAAAGUUUUUUCGGUGUGGGAUGAGCUCGCGGCCUAUCAGCUUGUUGGUGGGGUAAUGGCCUACCAAGGCGUCGACGGGUAGCCGGCCUGAGAGGGUGUACGGCCACAUUGGGACUGAGAUACGGCCCAGACUCCUACGGGAGGCAGCAGUGGGGAAUAUUGCACAAUGGGCGCAAGCCUGAUGCAGCGACGCCGCGUGGGGGAUGACGGCCUUCGAGUUGUAAACUCCUUUCGCUAGGGACGAAGCGCAAGUGACGGUACCUAGAGAAGAAGCACCGGCUAACUACGUG
rnacentral:rRNA from 1 species